AAAAAAUAGGUGGCCUCAGGAGGAACUGAGGAUGUGGUCUGUCAGCUUCCUGCUCCCGCUGCUGUUCCUGUUCCUGCUGCUUGCUGCUGUGCCUCCCUUCCACAAUGGACGAUGACGGACAGAUAUCCCUCUGCAGCCACGAGCCAAAUUAAACUCUCUCUUCCUGAAGUCGCCUUUGGCUGUGGUGUUUUAUCACAGCAACAGAAAAGUAACUAGUGCAUUGCCCUCG
rnacentral:lncRNA from 1 species